GGGGGUACUGGAGGACCAGAGUUGGGCUGUUGGGGGGUACAGGAGGACCAGAGUUGGGCUGUUGGGGGGUACUGGAGGACCAGAAGUUGGGCUGUUGGGGGUACAGGAGGACCAGAGUUGGGCUGUUGAGGGGUACUGGAGGACCAGAGUUGGGCUGUUGGGGGUACUGGAGGACCAGGGUUGGGCUGUUGGGGGUACUGGAGGACCAGGGUUGGGCUGUUGGGGGUACUGGAGGACCAGGGUUGGGCUGUUGGGGGUACUGGAGGACCAGGGUUGGGCUGUUGGGGGGUACAGGAGGACCAGGGUUGGG
ensembl:lncRNA